GCCGUUGUUUCUUGGAUCUUGUUUUACUUGGAUAACUGUGGUAAUUCUAGAGCUAAUACAUGCAACUAAGCUCUGACCUCACGGGAGGAGCGCAUUUAUUAGACCAAGACCAAUCGGGCUCUGCCCGUCAAUCUGGUGACUCUGAAUAACUUUGCUGAUCACACGGUCUUUGCACCGGUGACAUAUCUUUCAAGUGUCUGCCCUAUCAACUGUCGAUGGUAGUUUAUGUGCCUACCAUGGUUGUAACGGGUAACGGAGAAUAAGGGUUCGACUCCGGAGAGGGAGCCUGAGAAAUGGCUACCACAUCCAAGGAAGGCAGCAGGCGCGCAAAUUACCCACUCUCAGCUCGAGGAGGUAGUGACGAAAAAUAACGAGACGGUUCUCUUUGAGGCCCGUCAUCGGAAUGGGUACAAUCUAAACCCUUUAACGAGGAUCUAUUGGAGGGCAAGUCUGGUGCCAGCAGCCGCGGUAAUUCCAGCUCCAAUAGCAUAUACCAAUUCUGCUGCUGUUAAAAAGCUCGUAGUUGGAUCUACUCCGAGGGCCCAGUCUGCCUAAUGGGCAUGUACUGGGUUCCGAGGAUGCUUUAUGCUGGUUUUCCCAUGGUGCUCUUCAUUGAGUGCCUUGGGUGGCUAGCACGUUUACUUUGAAAAAAUUAGAGUGCUCAAAACAGGCGUUACGGCCCGGAUAGUGGUGCAUGGAAUAAUGGAAUAGGAUCUCGGUUCUAUUUUGUUGGUUUUAGGAGCGCGAGAUAAUGAUUAAGAGGGACAGACGGGGGCAUUCGUAUUGCGGCGUUAGAGGUGAAAUUCUUGGAUCGCCGCAAGACGAACAACUGCGAAAGC
rnacentral:rRNA from 1 species